rnacentral:rRNA from 1 species
GACGAACGCUGGCGGCGUGCUUAACACAUGCAAGUCGAACGAAGAGCGAUGGAAGCUUGCUUCUAUCAAUCUUAGUGGCGAACGGGUGAGUAACGCGUAAUCAACCUGCCCUUCAGAGGGGGACAACAGUUGGAAACGACUGCUAAUACCGCAUACGAUCUAACCUCGGCAUCGAGGAUAGAUGAAAGGUGGCCUCUAUUUAUAAGCUAUCACUGGAGGAGGGGAUUGCGUCUGAUUAGCUAGUUGGAGGGGUAACGGCCCACCAAGGCGAUGAUCAGUAGCCGGUCUGAGAGGAUGAACGGCCACAUUGGGACUGAGACACGGCCCAGACUCCUACGGGAGGCAGCAGUGGGGAAUCUUCCGCAAUGGACGAAAGUCUGACGGAGCAACGCCGCGUGAGUGAUGACGGCCUUCGGGUUGUAAAGCUCUGUUAAUCGGGACGAAAGGCCUUCUUGCGAAUAGUUAGAAGGAUUGACGGUACCGGAAUAGAAAGCCACGGCUAACUACGUGCCAGCAGCCGCGGUAAUACGUAGGUGGCAAGCGUUGUCCGGAAUUAUUGGGCGUAAAGCGCGCGCAGGCGGAUUGGUCAGUCUGUCUUAAAAGUUCGGGGCUUAACCCCGUGAUGGGAUGGAAACUGCCAAUCUAGAGUAUCGGAGAGGAAAGUGGAAUUCCUAG